CUCGGAUCCAGGUGAGGAUACCCGCUGAAUUAAGC
rnacentral:rRNA from 1 species